GCAAACUGCGAAUACCGGAGAAUGUUAUCACGGGAGACACACGGCGGGUGCUAACGUCCGUCGUGAAGAGGGAAACAACCCAGACCGCCAGCUAAGGUCCCAAAGUCAUGGUUAAGUGGGAAACGAUGUGGGAAGGCCCAGACAGCCAGGAUGUUGGCUUAGAAGCAGCCAUCAUUUAAAGAAAGCGUAAUAGCUCACUGGUCGAGUCGGCCUGCGCGGAAGAUGUAACGGGGCUAAACCAUGCACCGAAGCUGCGGCAGCGACGCUUAUGCGUUGUUGGGUAGGGGAGCGUUCUGUAAGCCUGCGAAGGUGGCCUGUGAGGGUUGCUGGAGGUAUCAGAAGUGCGAAUGCUGACAUAAGUAACGAUAAAGCGGGUGAAAAGCCCGCUCGCCGGAAGACCAAGGGUUCCUGUCCAACGUUAAUCGGGGCAGGGUGAGUCGACCCCUAAGGCGAGGCCGAAAGGCGUAGUCGAUGGGAAACGGGUUAAUAUUCCCGUACUUGGUGUUACUGCGAAGGGGGGACGGAGAAGGCUAUGUUGGCCGGGCGACGGUUGUCCCGGUUUAAGCGUGUAGGUGUGUGUUCCAGGUAAAUCCGGUUCACUUUAACACUGAGGCGUGA
rnacentral:rRNA from 1 species